UCUAGUUUUGUCCUGAGCCAUGCAGAACAUGUAGUAUGUGGUUUUGUUGCAGUCUGUGCUGACUUAGUCUACAUCAGCUGGAGCAGCAAAUGGUACGAGGAUGGAAUUCAAUGUCUUGGGUGAGGAAGGGAGUUAACCAGUCCAAGUUCCAUCUCCAAUUUUCUACUCUGCUGUUUGUGCCUUCAUUACUGCAAUGUUAACAAGGAUCUGCAAGCUGGUUAAGAAGAGAGAAUCCCAUUCCCACAAGAAACAGGAGCAUGAAUGCCACAGAUCUUCAUAUCCUACCACCAUGCAGGUGAGAAUCAAGCAAUUUAGACAGUGGCAUUCUCCACCAUCCCUGCCACCCUGAACUACAAGGUGCUAUUAACUCCACUAAUUUUUGCUUUGGCAGUCCCCUACCAUAAACCCAUAUUUACCCAUAGAAAAGGCUUCCAUCCUAUGAACAUCCACAUUAUAUGUAACCUUCAGUUCUGGAGUUUUGCACCAGCAAAUUUGGGAAGUGUAAUGACUUCUAUAUUCUAGACAUCUCACAGGUUGCUACCUCCUUCCAAAGUCCUUGGACCAAAUGGGAAAGCCUGUUGGGAGACAGGGAGUGCCCUCCUCAAUGAUAUCAGUACAAGACAGUCAAC